UCAAGUAAUUAAGUGCAUGUGGUGGAUGCCUUGGCAGUCAGAGGCGAUGAAAGACGUGAUAGCCUGCGAAAAGCUCCGGGGAGGCGGCAAAUAUCCUUUGAUCCGGAGAUGUCUGAAUGGGGGAACCCACCUACUUUAAGGUAGGUAUUGCAACAUGAAUACAUAGUGUUGCAAGGCGAACGAGGGGAAGUGAAACAUCUCAGUACCCUUAGGAAAAGAAAUCAAUUGAGAUUCCCUCAGUAGCGGCGAGCGAACGGGGAUCAGCCCAUUAAGUUAUGUGUGUUUUAGUGGAACGCUCUGGGAAGUGCGAACGUAGAGGGUGAUAUUCCCGUACACGAAAGGGCACACAUAAUGAUGACGAGUAGGGCGAGGCACGUGAAACCUUGUCUGAAUAUGGGGGGACCAUCCUCCAAGGCUAAAUACUCCUGACUGACCGAUAGUGAACCAGUACCGUGAGGGAAAGGCGAAAAGAACCCCUGUGAGGGGAGUGAAAUAGAUCCUGAAACCGCAUGCAUACAAGCAGUGGGAGCACCUUCGUGGUGUGACUGCGUACCUUUUGUAUAAUGGGUCAGCGACUUAUAUUCAGUAGCGAGGUUAACCGUAUAGGGGAGCCGUAGAGAAAUCGAGUCUUAAUAGGGCGUUUAGUUGCUGGGUAUAGACCCGAAACCAGGCGAUCUAUCCAUGAGCAGGUUGAAGGUUGGGUAACACUAACUGGAGGACCGAACCCACUGUCGUUGAAAAGCCAGGGGAUGACUUGUGGAUAGGGGUGAAAGGCUAAUCAAGCCUGGUGAUAGCUGGUUCUCCCCGAAAGCUAUUUAGGUAGCGCCUCGGACGAAUACCAUAGGGGGUAGAGCACUGUUUCGGCUAGGGGGUCAUCCCGACUUACCAAACCGAUGCAAACUCCGAAUACCUAUGAGUACUAUCCGGGAGACAGACUGCGGGUGCUAACGUCCGUAGUCAAGAGGAAAACAAUCCAGACCGCCAGCUAAGGCCCCAAAAUCAUAGUUAAGUGGGAAACGAUGUGGGAAGGCAUAGACAGCUAGGAGGUUGGCUUAGAAGCAGCCACCCUUUAAAGAAAGCGUAAUAGCUCACUAGUCGAGUCGGCCUGCGCGGAAGAUGUAACGGGGCUAAAACUAUGUGCCGAAGCUGCGGAUGUAUACUUUGUAUACGUGGUAGGGGAGCGUUCUGUAAGCCGAUGAAGGUGUGUUGAGAAGCAUGCUGGAGGUAUCAGAAGUGCGAAUGCUGACGUGAGUAACGACAAAACGGGUGAAAAACCCGUUCGCCGAAAGACCAAGGGUUCCAGUCCAACGUUAAUCGGGGCUGGGUGAGUCGACCCCUAAGGCGAGGCCGAAAGGCGUAGUCGAUGGGAAAAUGGUUAAUAUUCCAUUACUUCUGUGUAAUGCGAUGAGAGGACGGAGAAGGCUAAAUCAGCCUGGCGUUGGUUGUCCAGGUGAAAGGAUGUAGGCAUGUAUCUUAGGCAAAUCCGGGGUACUCUAUGCUGAGAUCUGAUAGCAAGCUGUACUUGUACAGCGAAGUGGUUGAUGCCAUGCUUCCAGGAAAAGUCUCUAAGCUUCAGUUACACAGGAAUCGUACCCGAAACCGACACAGGUGGUCAGGUCGAGUAGACCAAGGCGCUUGAGAGAACUCUGCUGAAGGAACUAGGCAAAAUGGUACCGUAACUUCGGGAGAAGGUACGCUGUUGUUGGUGAUGGAACUCGCUUCCUGAGCUGACGACAGCCGCAGAAACCAGGCCGCUGCAACUGUUUAUUAAAAACAUAGCACUCUGCAAACACGAAAGUGGACGUAUAGGGUGUGAUGCCUGCCCGGUGCUGGAAGGUUAAUUGAUGGGGUUAGCGUAAGCGAAGCUCUUGAUCGAAGCCCCAGUAAACGGCGGCCGUAACUAUAACGGUCCUAAGGUAGCGAAAUUCCUUGUCGGGUAAGUUCCGACCUGCACGAAUGGCAUAAUGAUGGCGGCGCUGUCUCCAGCAGAGGCUCAGUGAAAUCGAAAUCGCUGUGAAGAUGCAGUGUACCCGCGGCUAGACGGAAAGACCCCGUGAACCUUUACUGCAGCUUGACACUGAACUUUGACCUUACUUGUGUAGGAUAGGUGGGAGGCUUUGAAGCUGGAACGCUAGUUCCAGUGGAGCCGUCCUUGAAAUACCACCCUGGUAAUGUUGAGGUUCUAACUCUGUCCCGUGAUCCGGGACGAGGACCGUGUCUGGUGGGUAGUUUGACUGGGGCGGUCUCCUCCUAAAGAGUAACGGAGGAGUACGAAGGUGCGCUCAGCGUGGUCGGAAAUCACGCGUAGAGUAUAAAGGCAAAAGCGCGCUUAACUGCGAGACCCACAAGUCGAGCAGGUACGAAAGUAGGUCUUAGUGAUCCGGUGGUUCUGUAUGGAAGGGCCAUCGCUCAACGGAUAAAAGGUACUCUGGGGAUAACAGGCUGAUACCGCCCAAGAGUUCAUAUCGACGGCGGUGUUUGGCACCUCGAUGUCGGCUCAUCUCAUCCUGGGGCUGAAGCAGGUCCCAAGGGUAUGGCUGUUCGCCAUUUAAAGAGGUACGCGAGCAUGGUUUAGAACGUCGUGAGACAGUUCGGUCCCUAUCUACCGUGGGCGCUGGAAAUUUGAGAGGAUCUGCUCCUAGUACGAGAGGACCAGAGUGGACGAACCUCUGGUGUACCGGUUGUGACGCCAGUCGCAUCGCCGGGUAGCUAUGUUCGGAAGGGAUAACCGCUGAAAGCAUCUAAGCGGGAAGCCUACCUCAAGAUAAGAUUUCCCUAGGACUUUAUGUCCUCUAAAGAGCCGUUCGAGACUAGGACGUUGAUAGGUUGGAUGUGGAAGCAUAGUGAUAUGUGAAGCUGACCAAUACUAAUUGCUCGUGAGGCUUGACUAU
rnacentral:rRNA from 1 species